UAUUUUAUUUUAGCAUAUGGGUUGCGUAAAUAUUUGGGUUUGAUGAUUAUGUUUUGCGUGAUUGUUACUAGUUGAAGGAACCUAAGUGCAUCAUUGUAUUUGUUAUAUAAUGUUUUAGUUGAUAGAACUAGGAUGGUUGUCCUGUAAAACUUAAACUGUAUAGUCCAUAAAUACAAUGUCUGGUAAUGAAGCUCUAAUCUUUUCUCGAAGCCUUCAAAACCCGAAACUACCAUUUGGAUGAGUGUGUGGGAGAGUGUUAGGAANAGGNAAUGUAAAUGUAACAGAGGGGGGAAGGGUAGUUGCAGAGGAUGGUUGAGAGAAGGUGAGGUGAAAUGUUUGAUUGUAAGUGUGAGUUGAGAGAAAGGAUUANGGGGUCAAUGAGAUUUAUAGGUGUGUGUGAAUCAGAACGAGAGUGUGUAGGCUGUAUAGAUUGGCUAUAGUUGAAUAACUUUUAAAUUUCUAAACUUGAUUCAGCUGUUGUUCUGUUUGGAUGAAUUAUAUAUGUUUCUAUUCAACAGGAUUUGUGCACGACCAAUUUUGCAGUACUUGAAGGGUGCUUAAUGAGUAAAACCCAAAGCAUGAAUGUAAUGUUAGAUUUUGUUGAGUUUCCUGAUUGAAGGAUUGUAUGUGGUAAUUGUGAAAGAAUGUAAUUAUGAUGUGUUCACGGGUGAAAAUGAUUAGAUGUAUGAACCUUGUUCUAUUGCUAUGUAUUACAUAUUACGUUCAAAUAAUAGUUGUCACUGUAAGGAUUGAUUAGUAAAAUGCAUGUAAAGGGAAUUAUAAUUGACUGUUGAUGCGCUAAUAAGGUAUAGAUGCAUGUAUGUUGACUAAAGUGCAUUUCUGAGUUGAAUGAAACUACUGAUAAUGUAUGCGGAUCAAUUCAGUGCUUAUUCCAUGUCAGACANAGAGAAAUAGUUCAUGUAUUUGGUAACUUAUAAUAAGCAUUAGACCCUUUAUGAAUCAUUUGAUGCAAUUUGAUUNUGAUGGAAUUUACUUUGUAUAAUGCUACCUGUUGUGAAGUAAUCUCAACUUGUUACUUGUUAAUAUGAAAUGAAGUUAACCAUAUCCAGGAGUGUUAAAANUGUGCAUGUCUANAUCAUUGGAACUUAUCUCAUUUCAAUCACUUGGCUUAUUUUAUAAACCUUAUUUUAAGCCAAUUGUUUGAACGCUGUUUUGGGACCUANUGCAGGGACUUUNGUCUCUGGAAUGUGUUGUUUUUGGGUUCUGCUUUNAAGUGCAUGUAUGAGGAAAGCAUACAAAUUCUACAGGUGGAAAUGAUGACAAGAGGCCUUUGGUCUAGUUUAUUGUCUUCUAAAUGAAAGUAUUUUUUUAAGUCAUAUUAAAAUUUCUUUAUUAUUUUCAUGUCAUGUGAAAGGAAAAAGAAUANACAUUGGUGGUACANAACCCUGUGCUUUGUGCUUAGCUAUAAUUAAAUGCAACAUUGAUGGCCACGACAGCGUGAUGAGGGAUUGACUUCACUGUUGCCUUCAUUUUAUUCUCGAGGUAAUUAAUUAUUUGCUUUUAAAAAGUGGGAUAUUCAAAUAUUUUCUGUUAUAUAUAUAGAUGUUAUCAUUACUNAUCCAAAUAUCAGGGUAACGACAAAAGAAUAAAGUGCAUUAUGGUAGGAUUAUUUGCCCAGCCAUCGAUUGUAGUAACUUCCACAAUCUCAUUCCGAAAAAAUUCUGAUUGAUGUCGGUUUGGUUUCCAAUGAAACGGUGGUGGCUUAAGGAAUCUUUCGUGCUGAAAUUAGUUUCCAUGCAAACUAAGGUGCCAUCUUGUUUUAUAGCGGUUUUGCAGACGUGUUCAUUACUGGGAUAGGUCUUGGAGACACACACAUAAAACCCAUCAUUGCUCAUACCAUAUACCACAUAACAUUCAAUACACUCUUCUCUUCUCUUCUCUUUAUUAUUGCUAGCCUCACUAUUGCUAGCUUGGCCAUCCCACAGGGAAUCAGUUAUGCUAAGCUUGCAAAUCUUCCUCCGAUUGUGGGACUAUAUUCCAGUUUUGUCCCGCCGCUUGUUUAUGCUGUUCUUGGAAGUUCGAGGGACCUAGCUGUGGGACCUGUGUCUAUUACUUCUCUUGUGCUGGGAUUGAUGCUGAGACAGGAAGUGUCUCCCACAGCAGACCCAGUUCUAUUUCUUCAAUUGGCUUUUACUUCAACUUUUUUUGCCGGUCUCUUUCAAGCUUCGCUUGGAAUCCUGAGGUGGUGAUAUAAAACCAUGCUGCAAAUUUGAUGCAAUAUGUGAAAGUAUUGGAAU